CAGCCUCUUUUUCCUCCCCUGCUCUUCUUCCUCUCCUUCUUCUCUUCCAACUGCAGCUGCCAUCGCCGCAGCCACAGCCCCUUCUUCCCCUUCUCUUCUUCCUCUCCUUCCCUUCUUCCUUUCUCUUCUUCUUUCCCUGCCACAGCUGCCACAGUCGCAGCCGCAGCUCUCCUUCCUCUCGUCUACCUCACCUUUUUUUCUUCCUCUCCUUCUUCUCUUCUAGCUGCAGCUGCCACCGCCGCAGCCCCAGC
rnacentral:lncRNA from 1 species